GGCGCCCUCUGCUUUCUGUGCUUGCAGCAGCAGCAGCGGCCAACGCCGCCGCCACCGCCGCCGCCUUAUGGGAGUGUGCGUGCCUCCCGCUCCCUCCCGCCCUCUCCCCGGGCUGUAAGAGAGGGCAGUAAAUCUGGAGCGAGAGACACCCGCUCUGCCGCACGUUUCCAGGCGCCGGCUUCCCAGCCGCCGCCUCCACCUCUACUGCUGCUUCUCUUUGUCCGGGGAAAGGAAGGAGGGAGGGAAGAAGGGAGGAGUAGUUGCUGCUGCUGCUGCUGCUGCGGCACCAGGUGCAUCCUCGGAGCUCUCCAUCACUCGGCGCCCCUUCCCCCGGGCACUGAGCCGCGCGCUUGGAGACCCGUGGCGGGGCGGCGGCAGCUUCCUUGGGUGGGUGUCCGCGUACAGGGCAGCAUAUUACUUGAGAGUCACUUGGAUAGAGGCCUGGUCUUGAAAUCAGGAAGACUUGAGUUCAGGUUUUACCUUUGAUGUGUGCUGGCCUUGUACUCAUGGGCAAGUCAUUUAACCUCUCAGGAAUGUUGGGGAUUCUCAAAGAAUACAUCAGUAGCAAAUUGCUGAUGUGCAUU
rnacentral:lncRNA from 1 species